rnacentral:snRNA from 1 species
CAGUGUUACAGCUCUUUUAGAAUUUGUCUAGCAGGUGUUCUGGUUUUCCAGAAAGCCUCC